rnacentral:rRNA from 1 species
AAUAGAUACCCGGGUAGUCCACGCCGUAAACGAUGAGUGCUAAGUGUUAGGGGGUUUCCGCCCCUUAGUGCUGCAGCUAACGCAUUAAGCACUCCGCCUGGGGAGUACGGUCGCAAGACUGAAACUCAAAGGAAUUGACGGGGGCCCGCACAAGCGGUGGAGCAUGUGGUUUAAUUCGAAGCAACGCGAAGAACCUUACCAGGUCUUGACAUCCCAUUGACCACUAUGGAGACAUAGUUUUCCCUUCGGGGACAACGGUGACAGGUGGUGCAUGGUUGUCGUCAGCUCGUGUCGUGAGAUGUUGGGUUAAGUCCCGCAACGAGCGCAACCCUUGUUCUUAGUUGCCAUCAUUUAGUUGGGCACUCUAAGGAGACUGCCGGUGACAAACCGGAGGAAGGUGGGGAUGACGUCAAAUCAUCAUGCCCCUUAUGACCUGGGCUACACACGUGCUACAAUGGACGGUACAAACGGUUGCCAACCCGCGAGGGGGAGCUAAUCCGAUAAAACCGUUCUCAGCUCGGAUUGUAGGCUGCAACUCGCCUACA